rnacentral:lncRNA from 1 species
CCCCGACUCUCUCAACAAUCAAUGCAUAUCUCCGAUUCACUUAACAAUUAAUGCGCGUGGCUCCUAUUAUUUACGGAUCUUUAGUCCUCCACGGCAAAUUAGCUCGGCUGCGAUCAAUCAGCCAUGACAACUCCAUGAUUCCGAUCUUAUCCUCUACGGCAAAGCAUUAAUUCACAUGACCGUGCACUAAUACAUGCGACAUGCUCAGCCAUACUGCAACCCGGUCCUGUCGCAUCACAGGUAACCCGGCACCCCACUAUAAAAGGAAAACUCCUCUACCGCACUAGGGAGGACCCCUUUUUUAUUGACAUAUUCCCCCUCUGACUUGAGCAUCGGAGGGCCGGAGCCGGAAAUCCCGGCCAUCGGCUUCUUAUAGGCCUUCCGGAGGACGCCGCUCGCCGACGGACCGCCGCCACCCGUGCCCCGCUGAUUUCCGUUGGAGCUCCUCCGCCUCAGCCCCGUGACUGCCCCCGGGUCCAAUUUCUAGCAACAAAUCUAAUUGUAUCAUAUUAUCUAGAUUAUUUAUUAUCAUAACAAUGCUAAAUAAAUUAUUU